AUUAUAAAUUCUCUUUCUCCAUCAAAGUGAGACUGUCUCUCUUGAGGUUGCAGAGAAACAAUAAUAUUUAAAAAAAAAGAGGAAAAAAUGGACCAAGAACGAUGACUUGUAUAUGGAUUCUCCCAACUUCAGAGGCUUCUAGGAUUUGGAUUUUACAGCUACUGAUUUUUUCCUUAAGGAAGUGAAUAAUGCCGGCGAAGCUUGAAACUAGAGACCAACGGUUAGACCAGGGUGUGUUUCAGUCGUCCAUUUACUCACAACCUUGGUGGCGGGGAGUUGGAAAUAGUUCUACCUUUGAGGAAAGCACGUCAAAAUCAUCAUCAUCAGAUCACCUGAAUGGUUCUCUCUCUAAUGGACCUAUUCGAUCACAAGCUAAUCUUACCUUAGAUAAUGGUGCUAACUCCAAUAAAGAUACACAGGUCGCUGUAUCAUCACAAUCUGAUGGAAUUAAUGGACAAGGACACCAUCUCAAACAGGUUCCAUCAUCGGCACCUGUCACUAUGGUUGGACACGUAGAACCAAAUUCCCAAAUGGAACUUGUUGGCCACUCAAUUGUUUUGACUUCAUAUCCGUAUUCAGAUGCACAAUAUGGUGGGAUGUUACCUUCUUAUGCGCCACAAGCUAUGGUAACUCCUCAGUUAUAUGGAAUGCAUCAUGCUAGAAUGGCUUUGCCUCUUGAAAUGGAAGAGGAACCUGUUUAUGUGAAUGCAAAGCAGUUUAAUGGUAUUUUGAGACGGAGACAGGCACGUGCUAAGGCAGAGAUUGAAAAGAAAGCAAUAAAAGCUAGAAAGCCAUACCUUCACGAGUCUCGACACCAACAUGCUAUGAGAAGGGCAAGGGGUUGUGGAGGCCGAUUUCUUAGUUCCAAGAAGCCUGAAAGUAAUACUAAAAAUCCUGCAUCAGAUAACGAUGUCAAUUCAUGCAUUAAUGCUUCAACACGGUCUGCCAUUUUAACAGGCUCUGAAUGGUUGCAAAAGAAUGGAACUCGAAAUUUGGAUUCCGCCAAUGGUGAAGGAAAAGGGUCUACUGACCACGAUAUGCAAUCACACUCAUCUUCUCAUGGUAAUGGUAAUGGCCAUGGACUGUCAUCAAUAUACCAUCCAUCUUCAGGCGAUGGCUUGGACAGAGGCUUCUUGGUUCAGCAGAGGGCAUCCACACACUGGAACGGGGUCACAAAUGGGGCUCUGCCCAUAAAUUAAUUUCCCACCUUGGAGCUGCAGGGGACCCUGUCGCUGGUCUGAUAGCUGACCCCUCGAACUGGUGAAGCUGGAUAUCUUAUGCCAGACUCAACUUGCGGGUGGAAUCUUCUCUAUGUAGUGUUUCCUCGGGCAAUUCAUUCUUGGCUUUGGAUACUUGGUUACUCGGUAAAUUUACGGAAGCGAGGGAAGAAAUUAUGGUGACAGUAGUCUUCACAUGGUUAUAUGAGUUCCAUUCAGCUUCUAUUCACCUCUUCUGUAAAAGUAGUGAAACUUAUAAGCACGUGUGCAUUAGGAAAUAGUUCCAAAAUGUGGCUACACACUCUGAGCUGUAUGAAAGACCUUUUUUUCUUUUUUUGGUUUUGUGACAAAGGGUUUACCUAGUGUUGUACAUUAGCAUCUUAACGGUGUUAAGAAUUUGAUGGUGGUUUUUUUCUGCA